rnacentral:lncRNA from 1 species
CUUUUAUUCCAAUGCUUUUACAGAUGUGUUUUAUCUUCAGAGAGACUCAUGGAGAGGACUCUGACACUUACUCUAGAAUAUAGACGUUCAGAUCGUAAAACAGAAAUAGAUGCACCAUUUGCUCCUGCGAGCUACCCCGUACUCAGGAGAGCCUUAUUUUGCCUGUUAAACAGUUAGGUCCCUCUGUCUGCAAGGUCCAUCCUCUCCCACUGGGAAGGAGACCCUCGAGGAAGGUCGCUUGAUGGGUCUUAUUCACAGGUUUCAAUAUUUGUCGCUGUAGUAAUGUACUCUGAUAAUCUUUUAACUAAAGUGGCC